rnacentral:rRNA from 2 species
UCAUCGGCCUCAGAUUGGUAGGACUACCCGCUGAACUUAAGCAUAUCAAUAAGCGGAGGAAAAGAAACUAACAAGGAUUCCCCUAGUAACGGCGAGUGAAGAGGGAAGAGCCCAAGAUUGAAAGCUGGCGUCUUCGACGUCCGCAUUGUAAUCUCAAGAAGUGUUUUCCGCUUCGGACCAUGCCUAAGUCCCUUGGAAAAGGGCAUCAUAGAGGGUGAUAAUCCCGUACAUGGCAUGGAGCGCCCGAGGCUUUGUGAUACGCUUUCUAAGAGUCGAGUUGUUUGGGAAUGCAGCUCAAAAUGGGUGGUAAAUGCCAUCUAAGGCUAAAUAUUGGGGAGAGACCGAUAGCGAACAAGUACAGUGAUGGAAAGAUGAAAAGAACUUUGAAAAGAGAGUUAAACAGUACGUGAAAUUGCCAAAAGGGAAGGGUAGGAGGUCAGAGAUGCGUCUUGGGAUUCAGCCUUGCUUUUGCUUGGUGUUUUUCCCAAGUUGCAGGCCAACGUCGGUUUUGGGCACUGGAGAAGGGUGGAAGGAACGUGGCACCUCUCGGGGUGUGUUAUAGCCUUCCACUGGAUACAGCGACCGAGACCGAGGACAGCAGCGUACUCGCAAGAGCGGGCCUUCGGGCACCUUUACGCUUAGGGC